rnacentral:rRNA from 1 species
UUUUUCGGGGGGGCAGCAGUGGGGAAUUUUACAGGAAGGCAGCAGUGGGGAAUCUUGCACAAUGGGGGAAAGCAUGAAGCCCCCAGGCUGCUAAAAUGAUGAAGUCCGGAGGAAAAUAAACUUCUUUCACCGGGGAAGAUAAUGACGGUACCCGAAGAAGAAGCCCCGGCUAACUUCGUGCCAGCAGCCGCGGUAAUACGAAGGGGGCAAGCGUUAUUCGGAAUUACUGGGCGUAAAGCGCGCGUAGGCGGUCAUUUAAGUCAGAGGUGAAAUCCCGGGGCUCAACCUGGGAAUUGCCUUUGAUACUGCAUGUCUAGAGUUCGGGAGAGGAGAGUGGAAUUCCGAGUGUAGCGGUGAAAUUCGUAGAUAUGCGGAGGAACCCCAGUGGCGAAGGCGAUUCCCUGGCCCGACACUGACGCUGAGGCGCGAAAGCGUGGGGAGCAAACAGGAUUAGAUCCCCUGGUAGUCCACGCCGUAAACGAU